UCUAUGUCAAUACAACUUCAAGUGUUUAGUUUGGGCAUGUGUAAAAACUAAAGUGGGUUAAGGCAACGGAGUUUCCACGCAAAUUUCUAGUAAACUCACCUAAUUCAGGUUUACAGUGAACGACACAUAGA